rnacentral:tRNA from 1 species
AGCCUUGAAGUGGCUUUCACGUCAAAAUGCAAGUUUGAAAAAGAGCCCUAAGGGGCU